GUGGGGAAUAUUGGGCAAUGGGGGAAACCCUGACCCAGCGACGCCGCGUGAGGGAAGACGGCCUUCAGGUUGUAAACCUCUUUUGUACGGGAAGAAGGAAGUGACGGUACUGUACGAAUAAGUCCCGGCUAACUACGUGCCAGCAGCCGCGGUAAUACGUAGGGGACGAGCGUUGUCCGGAAUUACUGGGCGUAAAGGGCGCGCAGGCUGUGCUGCAAGUCAGCUGUGAAAUGUCUGGGCUUAACCCGGGCAUGCGGUUGAGACUGCAGUGCUGGAGUGCUGUAGAGGCAAGUGGAAUUCCCAGUGUAGCGGUGAAAUGCGUAGAUAUUGGGAAGAACACCGGUGGCGAAGGCGACUUGCUGGGCAGCAUCUGACGCUGAGGCGCGAAAGCCAGGGGAGCAAACGGGAUUAGAAACCCUGGUAGUCC
rnacentral:rRNA from 1 species